GACGAACGCUGGCGGCGUGCUUAACACAUGCAAGUCGAACGGAAAGGCCCUGCUUUUGUGGGGUGCUCGAGUGGCGAACGGGUGAGUAACACGUGAGUAACCUGCCCUUGACUUUGGGAUAACUUCAGGAAACUGGGGCUAAUAUCGGAUAGGAGCUCCUGCUGCAUGGUGGGGGUUGGAAAGUUUCGGCGGUUGGGGAUGGACUCGCGGCUUAUCAGCUUGUUGGUGGGGUAGUGGCUUACCAAGGCUUUGACGGGUAGCCGGCCUGGGAGGGGGACCGGCAACCUGGCGCCUGGGAGAGGCCCCAGACGGGAACGGGGGGCAAGGGGGGAAAGCCUUACGGAGCGGGGGGGCGCGAGUGAUGAAGGUGCCCGGUGCGGAAAGCGGUGUUGGGGGUGAAAAACCUAUGUGGACGGAACCGAGCCGAGAGUGACGGUAAUGAAUAAAAAAGCCCCGGCUAACUACGUG
rnacentral:rRNA from 1 species